UACGUAGGUGGCAAGCGUUGUCCGGAAUUAUUGGGCGUAAAGCGCGCGCAGGCGGUCCUUUAAGUCUGAUGUGAAAGCCCACGGCUCAACCGCGGAGGGUCAUUGGAAACUGGGGGACUUGAGUACAGAAGAGAAGAGUGGAAUUCCACGUGUAGCGGUGAAAUGCGUAGAGAUGUGGAGGAACACCAGUGGCGAAGGCGACUCUUUGGUCUGUAACUGACGCUGAGGCGCGAAAGCGUGGGGAGCAAACAGG
rnacentral:rRNA from 1 species